AACGAACGCUGGCGGCAGGCCUAACACAUGCAAGUCGAGCGCCCCUUUCGGGGGGAGCGGCGGACGGGUGAGUAACGCGUGGGAACGUGCCCUUUGGUUCGGAAUAGCCCUGGGAAACUGGGGGUAAUACCGGAUACGCCCCGGACUUGAUCCGGGGGAAAGAUUUAUUGCCGAAGGAUCGGCCCGCGUUGGAUUAGGUAGUUGGUGGGGUAAUGGCCUACCAAGCCUUCGAUCCAUAGCUGGUUUGAGAGGAUGAUCAGCCACACUGGGACUGAGACACGGCCCAGACUCCUACGGGAGGCAGCAGUGGGGAAUCUUAGACAAUGGGCGCAAGCCUGAUCUAGCCAUGCCGCGUGAGCGAAGAAGGCCUUAGGGUUGUAAAGCUCUUUCAGGGGGGAAGAUAAUGACGGUACCCCCGGAAGAAGCCCCGGCUAACUCCGUGCCAGCAGCCGCCGUAA
rnacentral:rRNA from 1 species